rnacentral:misc_RNA from 1 species
UUAAGUUCAGCGGGUAGUCCUACCUGAUCCGAGGUCAACAUAUGGCGGUCCCUCCGCGCGUGAGCACGGCGGUCCCUAUGUCGGGGGUUUUACGGCAGGCCCAGCUGCUUCUCCCAGGGCAUCUAACGGUGAAGUUACUGUACCCGGGGUCCGCAGCCGAACCGCGCACUUCUGCUUGGGGGCCUAGGGGGGGCUUCGCG